rnacentral:rRNA from 1 species
GAAUGAACGCUGGUGGCAGACCUAACACAUGCAAGUCGAACGGUCUAUAUUAAACUUCGGUUUUUUAUAGAUAGUGGCAACGGGUGAGUAAGCAUGGGAUCUACCUAGAAGUUUGGAAUAGCUAUUAGAAUGAUAGAUAAUACCAAAUACACCUCGUAGAGGGAAAGUUGAACUCGGUCUUACGACUUUUAGAUGAGCCCAUGUUAAAUUAGUUAGUUGGUAGGGUAAUGGCCUACCAAGAUGAUGAUUUAUAGCUGGUCUUAGAGGAUGAUCAGCCACACUGGAAUUGAGA